UGACAUCAUGCAGUGUGUGCUCUAAGC
rnacentral:piRNA from 1 species